UACGUAGGGUGCGAGCGUUGUCCGGAAUUAUUGGGCGUAAAGAGCUCGUAGGCGGCCUGUCGCGUCUGCUGUGAAAUCCCGGGGCUCAACCCCGGGCCUGCAGUGGAUACGGGCUGGCUGGAGGCAGGCAGGGGAGAACGGAAUUCCUGGUGUAGCGGUGAAAUGCGCAGAUAUCAGGAGGAACACCGGUGGCGAAGGCGGUUCUCUGGGCCUGUUCUGACGCUGAGGAGCGAAAGCGUGGGGAGCGAACAGG
rnacentral:rRNA from 1 species